CUAUAUUGGAGCAUUGUUCCCUGCUCUCUUGAUAGGCUUUCUGGAUGGGAUUUGGUUCCUUGUUUGGGACUGCUACAAUUGCUGUUUUUGUUAUUCUGCUCUGCUCUAUGGAGGAUAUCCUGCUGGAGAAGAAGGAGCCCAGGCCUUCCUGACUCCAGAGGCACCUGGCAGCGGGUCCUACCCUCUGCUGUGUCUCUUCUGAUGCAACUGCAGCCAUGAUGAGGAUGUCCCUGAGACAGUUGCUCUUGGGAGGCUCGACGUGGAGACCAAGUGCAGCUGAAGGAAAGGCGGUUGCUUUGGACACCUGGUGAAGGUGUUUGCUAGCUGCCUUCUGUGAGGAGAGCUGAUUACUCUGCUGAGGAUUUGCUGCUAAAUGUGAUUGCAGGAGACUGCAAAUGUUAAUCAGGUGCCUGUGCUGACAGCCACGGGGUUUGCUCCUGCUCACUGCCCUGCUGGAAAGCUGCUGCGUGGGCAAGAGGAGACCUGCAAAAAUCCCAUCCUGUGGCACUAGUGCUGAAGGUCAGCACUACCGGAGCAGAUGCUUAUUUUGGGGUGGUAUGGAGAUGACAGAGCUGUGGAGUCAACAGGGUGCUGCAGGAGCGGAAGGGAGCCCCUUUCCCCUUGUGCCCAGGGCGCU